CAGCCGCCGCGGUAAUACGAAGGGGGCUAGCGUUGCUCGGAAUGACUGGGCGUAAAGGGCGCGUAGGCGGCGGCCAAAGUCAGGCGUGAAAUUCCCGGGCUCAACCUGGGGGCUGCGUUUGAUACUUGGUUGCUUGAGUGGGGAAGAGGGUCGUGGAAUUCCCAGCGUAGAGGUGAAAUUCGUAGAUAUUGGGAAGAACACCGGUGGCGAAGGCGGCGACCUGGUCCUUUACUGACGCUGAGGCGCGAAAGCGUGGGGAGCAAACAGGAUUAGAUACCCCCGUAGUCCCUGUCUCUUAUAC
rnacentral:rRNA from 1 species